rnacentral:rRNA from 1 species
GUCCUUUUGAUAAUAAUUUAAGGUCCAAUCUGCUCACUGAUGAUGAAUUUAAGAGCCGCGGUAUUUUGACCGUGCAAAGGUAGCGUGAUAAUUAGUUUUUUGAUUGAAAGCUGGAAUGAAUGAUUUGACGAGAAAAUAACUGUCUCUUAUUAAUAAAUGGAAUUUUAUGUUUGAGUUAAAAAACUCAAAUUAUUUCAAGGGACGAGAAGACCCUAUAGAGUUUUAUAUUUUAAUAUUAUUUAUUAAUUUAUGUAUUUGAAUUUAAUUAUUAUUAAGAUAUUUAAUUGGGGUGAUUUAAAGAUUUAAUAAACUCUUUAUGUUAAGUUUACAAUGAUUAUUGGUUUACAUGAUCUAUAGUAAUAAUGGAAAGAUUAAAUUACCUUAGGGAUAACAGCGUAAUUUUUUAUUAAGUUCUUAUUUUUAUAAAAGGUUGCGACCUCGAUGUUGGAUUAAAAUUAAAGUUAGGUGUAGGUGCUUAAUAUUUGAGUCUGUUCGCACUUUUAAAAUUUUACA